rnacentral:rRNA from 1 species
GUAGGGAAUAUUAGUAAUGGGCGAAAGCCUGAACUAGCAACACCGCGUGUGCGAUGAAGGCCUUCGGGUCGUAAAGCACUUUUCGGGAGGAUGAGGAAGGACGGUACUCCCGGAAUAAGUCUCGGCUAACUACGUGCCAGCAGCCGCGGUAAAACGUAGGAGGCGAACGUUAUCCGGAUUUACUGGGCGUAAAGCGCGUGUAGGUGGUUUGGUAAGUAGGGCGUGAAAGCUCCUGGCUCAACUGGGAGAGGUCGUUCUAAACUGCCGGACUAGAGGAUGGUAGAGGGAGGUGGAAUUCCGGGUGUAGCGGUGGAAUGCGCAGAUAUCCGGAGGAACACCAGUGGCGAAAGCGGCCUCCUGGACCACUCCUGACACUCAGACGCGAAAGCUAGGGUAGCAAACGGGAUUAGAAACCCUAGUAGUCC